ACUUACCAGGGAUGCGAAGAACUCUAGUUUCAAUUUGGCCGCUUAGGAGAUAGAGGGAGCAAAUAGCGGAACCGACCCAGAAAUGG
rnacentral:ncRNA from 2 species